rnacentral:rRNA from 1 species
GCUUACGGCCAUACCAGCCUGUGUACGCCCGAUCUCGUCUGAUCUCGGAAGCUAAGCAGGGUCGGGCCUGGUUAGUACUUGGAUGUGAGACCGCCUGGGAAUACCAGGUGCUGUAAGCA